GCAUAAUUUCGUGUUUAAUUUCGUUCAUUUCUAAAAAUUUUGAUUAAACCCUGUGUAAAUUAAAAAAAUGUUACGUUUGUAUGAUUCUCCAUAGGUGGAUUGUAAAGAACAAAGUGUUUGUGCGUGUUUUAAUGGUUUGAUGGUUCUGAAAACUGUUAUGAAAGUUUGGCAUCAACAAAAGGGUUUGUUUAUUUACCAAAUAGCGCAAUUCAAUCUGGACAUGGUAUACAGACUCACGCACGAAUAAAAAGAUUUACAAAAUAUUGUCCGAUCUUUGUCCGAUCCACUUUAUUGUCAAAGAUUGGUCUAAUUUUUUUAGGAAUUUCCAAUUUAUUUUUACGUCCGGUAGCGAAAUAUUGCCAUUUACAAUCAGAUAUGGUAAUUUCACGGAAGCUCCUCCCGGUCCAGAUAAUCAACAUCCUGGUGAAUAUCUUCAAUGUUCUCCUAGCCCACUGCGCCUUCCCAGACGCAUGGAAAGAAGCCACGGUCAUUGGCAUCCACAAGCCGGGCAAACCCCUCGAUCUUCCGAUUAGCUACCGCCCAAUUAGUCUACUUAACACUAUAGGCAAGAUAUAUCAGAUGAUAAUCUGGAAUCGCCUCAAAGCUAUUUGCGAUGAGAAGCAACUUUUCAUCAACCAACAGUUUGGAUUUCGGUGUAGACGCUCGUGUGUUCACCAAGCGCACCACCUCACGAAGCACAUCCUUAACGGCUUUAAUAAAUUCAACAAACAGCAACAAACCUAUAGCCACCGGGGCGCUUUUCUUUGAAGUAGCUAAAGCGUUUGACCGAGUCUGGCACGAAGGCUUAAUAGUGAAACUGAACCGGUUUGGCGUGCCAAUCAUUUAGGUACCGUAUAGACGGCACUUUCUCAUCCCCCAGACAGAUUCGCGCCGGAGUCCCCCAGGGCUCCGUGCUCUCCCCGCUUCUAUACUCGCUCUUCACAAGAGACAUCCCCAUCGACCGCACUGUACACGAUGGCUGUAGACCGGCGUUCCACUAGAGUCCGCCUCCAGAAGGCAUUUAACAUUAUAGGCAAAUGGUUCCGCCUCUGGCGGAUAGAAGUCGACCCAAAGAAAAGCGCAGCCGUGCUUUUCACUGGUAAACCGGUUCCCCGAAACAAACCCGGACUCUUACGGUGGAAUUCAUAGUCGUAGUAGGGGGCCCCUAAGGGGAUUAUUCAGCCGCUAUGUGUCGAAUUCAACCCCUACGCGUUUCAUAGACAAAAGAAACCCCUCAUUUGACAGGAGCUGGCGGCUGACUGCUGAAUUACCGAUAUUUGUCAGCCAAACCAUCCCCUGGCAUUUUUUUUGUUGUUAUUCGUGAUUUAUUUAUUAGAAAGUGGACGUUCGGAUCGUUAUAAGUGAAGUUAUAAACAGCGAGUUAUAUCAGUGCCCAAGAUAUAUAUUCGCAAUUGCGUAAACCCAGUAUAAUACUAUGGCGAUAUGGAAUGUACGAAAGAUUCUCAUAUUAGUCAUAAUAUGUCUCUGUUUGAUGAAGAAUGAGCACAGAAGACCAAGAGAGGAAUACCAAUACCGCUAGUAUUAUACAUUCUAGCAGCACUUCGAUUCUAUGAAACGGGAUGUUAUCAGACUGUAGGUGCAGUCCAUCAAGCAUUCUAUGAAAUAACAGAAAUGCCACAAGUCAAGCUGUAUUGAUGGCACGCAUAGGUAUACAUAUAAACAACCCCGGAGGACCCUAUGCACAGAUUUAAAGAAACCGGAAUAGCAGUGAUGAGCUCUGAGAAUACUGUUUUACCAAGAAUACUGAGAAUACUUUGGUCCUUGAAAAUCCGAGUUUUCAGAUCACAGUAAUUGGAAGACCCACAUACCUUGAAAAGUCAGCAGCAUUUAAUAUCGAGGUAGUAGGAGUGAGUGGAGUAUGUUGUAAGGUGGUCACUCACUCUGAAGUCCAUAACGAUAGAAAAUGUAUACAAAUCUUAAUUGAAUGAAAUUUAUUGAUUCACAUCUAUAAUAAAGAUAUUUAUUACU